GGUUGAUUUUGGAGGACUCUGCGAAUUUUAAGUUUCUGAAACGAAAUAGCUAGACUAAUUAUCUGUUUAUAGAAUUGAUGUUCGAAAUCAUGGUUUCUGAGUGAACUUCAUUGGAGCAGAAAAUCUUGGAGGGAACAUCAAUACUAUUCUAAUGACAUUCCAUAGGAAUAAAAAUCCAAUGGGACCAAGUUCUUAGCAGUUCACACCUAGUCAGAAGUACAAAAUUGAGAACCAUGCCGAUCAGCAAGUGUUAGUUACAAUCUAAUGAGGAGCAGGAUAUCUGAAUGGAAAAAAUGCAAGGUUUCCCACUUCCCAAGCUGUUUAAGUACUGGUAUCACAACGUAAGUGCCAAGAAGAGAUAUGAAGGCCAAGUUAAUAAAAAGUAGUUACUUCAUUGCAAUAACUCAUUAAAAAUGAAUUAAUUUGAAAUAAAUAUAUAUUAAUAAAGCAUUGAAUGUUACUUAAACUACACAUCUGUAGAUAAGAGUGCGGCACAAGUUCAGGUUCAUCACAGGGGCCUUGGAACGGUUUUCAAAGUGGGGGGCUGACCAUGCAAAAAAUCACAAUCGUAUGGUCAUUUUUACAUUUUUGUACAUGGUUUUGGAAAAAAGUGGGGGGCUGAAGCCCGCCGCCCCCCCCCCCCUUCCACGGCCCCUGCAUCACCGGGCAAUGACAUUGAAGUAUACAAGUUUUGGUACAAAAUUUCACACAAAAUACAAGUAAGAAAUAUUUUUCC